CAGUGGCGCACGGGUGAGUAACGCGUGGGAACCUGCCCAAGAGCGGGGAACAACCAUUGGAAACGAUGGCUAAUACCGCAUACGCCCUCCGGGGGAAAGGCUUCGGCCACUCAUGGAUGGUCCCGCGUCUGAUUAGCUUGUUGGUAAGGUAACGGCUUACCAAGGCGACGAUCAGUAGCUGGUCUGAGAGGAUGAUCAGCCACACUGGGACUGAGACACGGCCCAGACUCCUACGGGAGGCAGCAGUGGGGAAUAUUGGACAAUGGGGGAAACCCUGAUCCAGCAAUGCCGCGUGAGUGAAGAGGGCCUUAGGGUUGUAAAACUCUUUCAACUGUGAAGAUGAUGACGGUAGCAGUAGAAGAAGCUCCGGCUAACUCCGUGCCAGCAGCCGCGGUAAUACGGAGGGAGCUAGCGUUGUUCGGAAUUACUGGGCGUAAAGAGCACGUAGGUGGCGAAGAUAGUCAGUGGUGAAAGGCCUGGGCUCAACCCAGGAACUGCCAUUGAUACUGCUUUGCUAGAGUCCGGGAGAGGAUAGCGGAAUUUCCAGUGUAGAGGUGAAAUUCGUAGAUAUUGGAAAGAACACCAGUUGCGAAGGCGGCUAUCUGGACCGGUACUGACACUGAGGUGCGAAAGCGUGGGGAGCGAACAGGAUUAGAUACCCUGGUAGUCCACGCCGUAAACGAUGAGUGCUAGUUGG
rnacentral:rRNA from 1 species